UGGGAGCUCUCCCAUAUGGUCGACCUGCAGGCGGCCGCGAAUUCACUAGUGAUUCGUAUUACCGCGGCUGCUGGCACAGAGUUAGCCGGUGCUUAUUCUGUCGGUAACGUCAAAACAGCAAAGUAUUAAUUUACUGCCCUUCCUCCCAACUUAAAGUGCUUUACAAUCCGAAGACCUUCUUCACACACGCGGCAUGGCUGGAUCAGGCUUUCGCCCAUUGUCCAAUAUUCCCCACUGCUGCCUCCCGUAGGAGUCUGGACCGUGUCUCAGUUCCAGUGUGACUGAUCAUCCUCUCAGACCAGUUACGGAUCGUCGCCUUGGUGAGCCAUUACCCCACCAACUAGCUAAUCCGACCUAGGCUCAUCUGAUAGCGCAAGGCCCGAAGGUCCCCUGCUUUCUCCCGUAGGACGUAUGCGGUAUUAGCGUCCGUUUCCGAACGUUAUCCCCCACUACCAGGCAGAUUCCUAGGCAUUACUCACCCGUCCGCCGCUCUCAAGAGAAGCAAGCUUCUCUCUACCGCUCGACUUGCAUGUGUUAGGCCUGCCGCCAGCGUUCAAUCUGAGCCAUGAUCAAACUCUAAUCGAAUUCCCGCGGCCG
rnacentral:rRNA from 1 species